rnacentral:rRNA from 1 species
UAACAAGGAUUCCCCUAGUAACUGCGAGUGAAGCGGGAAGAGCUCAAAUUUAAAAUCUGGCGGUUCCGCCGUCCGAGUUGUAGUCUGGAGAAGCGUUUUCCGCGCUGGACCGUGUACAAGUCUCUUGGAACAGAGCGUCGUAGAGGGUGAGAAUCCCGUCUUUGACACGGACUACCAGUGCUUUGUGAUGCGCUCUCGAUGAGUCGAGUUGUUUGGGAAUGCAGCUCAAAACGGGUGGUAAAUUCCAUCUAAAGCUAAAUAUUGGCGAGAGACCGAUAGCGAACAAGUACCGUGAGGGAAAGAUGAAAAGCACUUUGGAAAGAGAGUUAAACAGUACGUGAAAUUGCUGAAAGGGAAACGCUUGAAGUCAGUCGCGUCGUCCGGAAAUCAGCCUGGCUUCCGCCUGGUGUACUUUCUGGUGACGGGCCAGCAUCGAUUUUGACCGUCGGAAAAGGGUCAGAGGAACGUGGCACCUUCGGGUGUGUUAUAGCCUUUGGCCGCAUACGACGCUUGGGAUCGAGGAACUCAGCACACCUUUAUGGUCGGGGUUCGCCCACGUACUUGCUUAGGAU